AGUGGUAUAGCUUAAUGGUAGAGCGACAGUCUUUGAAACUGUAUGUCUAGGUUCGAUUCCUAGUACCACCGCCA
rnacentral:tRNA from 1 species